GUAUUUUUUAUUAGGUCGACGUCCGAUUGAGAUUCUGUUGUGCUCUUGCUAUGCUUACUCAGCCAAACGCGACUCAUGGUUUAUUUUAUGUAGUUUACUGCUGAUUUGUUCUUCUGAAACAUACAUAUCACAUUUGUAUUAAAAAAUCGACACCCCAGCCUUCGAGAUUAAAUUAGGGGUUUCAGAUUCUCUCAACCCCCCAUAAUUCGCAACCUAAAAUGUGGCAACAUGUACUCUCUUUCUAUGCUAAUAUAAGAAGACACAGUCUAUCGAUAUAAUAUAAUGUAUACUAAUUUUCAGCAGACAUUUCUGAACGUAUUUUAUCCUCUUGUUUUGUCAGGGUGUUGGAUGCAGAACUUGUUUCCACCAGCAGAUGGCGACAUAUCACCGCUACGUCAUACUAAUGGCAUUUCAUUCAUGUUAUGUGAGUGUGUGUACGCGUGCAUGUGUCGGGAACGUUUCCCAUCAGGCUUGGCCCCUGUCCAGAUCUAACCCUUUUAAAUCUGGCACACUUGGCGUCCAAGACACACGCACGCACAGGGUUCAAAUUCUAGUACACAGCAUGAACAUACUAUUGUCCCGGUUUGUCUGCAUAACAUCAGUAACAAUACAUACACGGAAAACCCCCUUGAUUUAAUUUAGCACCGGAACGUCUUAUCAAUCUAUCAAAAACAAUGUUUCUGGCUUUUUAAUCAAGUUGAAACAAUAACACAGAUUGAGCCACUAUAAUUGUAUUAAAUAUUCUGAAAAUGCAUUUUUAGAGACUAUUCUGCCUUACCUAUUAUGCAGUUUAAGUUGUUACUAUUGCAGUUUUAGGCCUGAUUGUUUUGAAGAUGUUGUGAACUAGGACUCAUCAUGACAGACCUGAGGUAGCUCAACAGAGUGAAGGUGCUCAAGUCUUCACUUGGAGGAGGGAUGGCUGAGAUUUGGACUGGUUUUGGGUCUCAUUAUGGACUGGAGAGGGGGCUAUUUCUUGGGCUAAUGGGGGUGCAGCUAGGGUCUAUGCCAGGGCCCCCUCGAAGCAAGAAGUGCACAACAAUCAGGAGCUCUGAUUGGACAAUAGGGUCAUCAUCCGAGCAACGCUGACAGCUGGCAGAGUGCCACACACACAAUCAUUCCAACUACACAAAUUCUGUGUUUGUAUGUUCAGACAAAAGGGGUACAGACCCCCUCAGAAGAUCCCCAAAAGUCUGAACUCUCUCAACUUUCUUCCCUCCUCUUCUGUUUCCCAACACACACUGUGCACGCUCACACACACACACACACACACACACACACACACACACACACACACACACACACACACACACACACACACACAAUAUAACUAUAAAGUGAGGUCACCUGAGGUCAGUAAAGCAGAAUAGUCCACUAAUAACACACAUAAUGCACAUAAAUGCAGAUACAUGAAUGCAAAACAUUUAGUCAUUCUUUGAUUAUAAUUAAUUCUAUGUAUUUACACAACCAUUCAAAAGUUUGGCUUUCUUUUUU
ensembl:lncRNA